GAUGAACGCUGGCGGCAUGCCUAAGACAUGCAAGUCGAACGAGAUGGCCCUUGGAAGCGGAGUGCUUGCACAAAGUGGAAAAGGAUCACCAUCUAGUGGCAGACGGGUGAGUAACACGUGGGUGACCUACCUUUAUGAUGGGGAUAACAGUUGGAAACGACUGCUAAUACCGAAUAAGAUAUAACUGUCGAGGUUAUAUUGAAAGGAGCCUUUAAAAGCUUCGCAUAGAGAUGGGCCUGCGGCGUAUUAACUAGUUGGUGGGGUAAAAGGCCUACCAAGGUAACGAUGCGUAGCCGAAACUGAGAGGUUGAUCGGCCAC
rnacentral:rRNA from 1 species